AUGCUUCCCUUGCUGAUUGGGUCACCCUGUCCACCCUGACAUGCACCACAGGCCCCAGGCCUUGGAACCAGGCCCAGCCUUGGCCUUCCCUGCCCCCAUUUCACCUUGAGUUCUCAGAAUGAGCCCUGAGCCUGUGUCCCCUGGAGUAUGGGCCUCAGUCCCAUGUUGGGAGCAGGACAGGCUGACCAGGCUGUCCCCAUCCUCCAGGGGGGCAUGUGCUCUGUGUACCUGAAGGACAGUGAGAAGGUUGUCAGCAUUUCCAGUGAGCACCUGGAGCCUAUCACCCCCACCAAGAACAACAAGGUAAGGGCAGGGGGCAAGGAGAUAAGAUGGGGCUGUUGGGUGCUGACAUGGACCCUGACCAUAUUUCCCCCCACCCCCAGGUGAAAGUGAUCCUGGGCGAGGAUCGGGAAGCCACGGGCGUCCUACUGAGCAUUGAUGGUGAGGAUGGCAUUGUCCGUAUGGACCUUGAUGAGCAGCUCAAGAUCCUCAACCUCCGCUUCCUGGGGAAGCUCCUGGAAGCUUGAAGCAGGCAGGGCCGGUGGACUUCGUCGGAUGAAGAGUGAUCCUCCUUCCUUCCCUGGCCCUUGGCUGUGACACAAGAUCCUCCUGCAGGGCUAGGCGGAUUGUUCUGGAUUUCCUUUUGUUUUUCCUUUUAGUUUUCCAUCUUUUCCCUCCCUGGUGCUCAUUGGAAUCUGAGUAGAGUCUGGGGGAGGGUCCCCACCUUCCUGUACCUCCUCCCCACAGCUUGCUUUUGUUGUACCGUCUUUCAAUAAAAAGAAGCUGUUUGGUCUAAAA
rnacentral:sRNA from 1 species